UACAGAGGGGGGCAAGCGUUGUUCGGAAUUACUGGGCGUAAAGGGCGCGUAGGCGGCCUUCUAAGUCGAACGUGAAAUCCCCGGGCUCAACCCGGGAACUGGCGUCCGAUACUGGAAGGCUUGAAUCCGGGAGAGGGAUGCGGAAUUCCGAGGUGUAGCGGUGAAAAUGCGUAGAUAUCUGGAGGAACACCGGUGGCGAAGGCGGCAUCCUGGACCGGCAUUGACGCGUGAGGAGCGAAAGCCAGGGGAGCAAACGGG
rnacentral:rRNA from 1 species